UACAGAGGGUGCGAGCGUUAAUCGGAAUUACUGGGCGUAAAGCGUGCGUAGACGGUUACAUAAGUCGGGUGUGAAAGCCCCGGGCUCAACCUGGGAAUUGCAUUCGAGACUGCGUAGCUAGGGUGCGGAAGAGGGAAGCGGAAUUUCCGGUGUAGCGGUGAAAUGCGUAGAUAUCGGAAGGAACACCAGUGGCGAAGGCAGCUCGCUGGGACGGUACUGACGCUGAGGCGCGAAAGCCAGGGAGCAAACGGG
rnacentral:rRNA from 1 species